AACGUAGGAGCCAAGCGUUAUCCGAAUUUACUGGGCGUAAAGCGCGUGCAGGCGGUUCGGCAAGUUGGAUGUGAAAGCUCCCGGCUCAACUGGGAGAGGCCGUUCAAAACUGCCGGGCUAGAGGGCGACAGAGGGAGGUGGAAUUCCCGGUGUAGUGGUGAAAUGCGUAGAUAUCGGGAGGAACACCAGUGGCGAAGGCGGCCUCCUGGGUCGCACCUGACGCUCAGACGCGAAAGCUAGGGGAGCGAACGGGAUUAGAGACCCCGGUAGUCCUAGCUGUAAACGAUGUAGACUUGGUGUUGGUGGGGUAAAAGCCAUCAGUGCCGCAGCAAACGCGAUAAGUCUACCGCCUGGGGACUACGGCCGCAAGGUUAAAACUCAAAGGAAUUGACGGGGACCCGCACAAGCAGCGGAGCGUGUGGUUUAAUUCGAUGCUACGCGAAGAACCUUACCCGGGUUUGACAUACAGGUGGUAGGGAAGCGAAAGUGGACCGACCCUUCGGGGAGCCUGAACAGGUGCUGCAUGGCUGUCGUCAGCUCGUGUCGUGAGAUGUCCGGUUAAGUCCGGUAACGAGCGCAACCCUUGCCGUAUGUUACAUGUGUCAUACGGGACUGCCGGUAUAAAGCCGGGGGAAGGUGGGGAUGACGUCAAGUCAGCAUGGCCUUUAUGUCCGGGGCUACACACACGCUACAAUGGCCGGUACAAUAGGUAGCAAGACCGCGAGGUGGAGCCAAUCCUGAAAGCCGGUCUCAGUUCAGAUUGCAGGCUGCAACCCGCCUGCAUGAAGUCGGAGUUGCUAGUAACCGCGCGUCAGCCACAGUGCGGUGAAUACGUUCCCGGGUCU
rnacentral:rRNA from 1 species